CUCUUUCCUCCAUGUGCUGCACCCUGCUGCUAGAGGAUUAUUAAGAAAAUAGAGAGGGAGCUGAGUGCCGUGAGAUGGCCAGGGGUCUAGAUCACACAGUACACCAGGAAAAGCUGAAGCAACAAGAAUAUGGGUGGAAGAAGAGAUCCCAGAUAAGUAAAAAGAGCAGCUUCUGUAUGAGGAGAAAUUAAAGGGACCAGACCUCUAAGAGGAUUUUGGUCCUAAAUAUUCCAGGAAGAGAGAGAUGGGAAUAGAAGAAACACCAACCAUGAACAGCCACAAAUCUGCUUACAUUUUGAAGCAACCAUCCAACUUAAAAACCAAAUGAGGCUUUCUUCCCUCAGUAACAAUCACGAAUAAUGUAACUCCCAGAUUUUUUUUUUUUUAAAACUCCUUCAAUUCAUAAACCACGGGCUUUGCUAUGGCCUCAGUCCUUUGAGAAGAUCC